GAUGUAAAAAAAUUAUUUAUUAUUAAUUUUGUUUUAGUGUUAAUAAAAAUAAUUUUAUAAAUUAAGUUUUUAGUAUGGAUUAUAGAAAAAAAUUUAUUUAUUAUAGUUAAAUAGUAUUGUAAAAGAAUUUUGAAUUAAAUUUUAAUAGUUUAAAAGUAAAGUUUAUUUUUUGUACCUUGUGUAUCAGGGUUUAUUUAAUAAUUAUUAUAUAUUUAAUUUUCCCGAUUUUAAGAGAGAGAAUAAAUAAUUUUUUUUAUUGUGAAAAAAAUAUUUAUAAUUAUUUAUUAGAAAUGAAAAGUUAUUCGUUCUUAAAUGUAUCUGGUUUAUUUAGAAGUGAAUUUAAUUCAGUUAAUUUUAUUUAUUUUUAUAAUUAAAAAUUUAUUUAAUAAAAUUAAUAAUAGUUAAGGGGAUAAGCUUUUAAUUAUUUUCUAUAAAUAAUUGAGUAAAAAUUUAAAUUUGUAAGUUUAGAAAUAUUUAUCAUUAAUAGUUUGUUUUAAUUAAUUUAAUAAAUUAAUAUUAUUUUUUUUAUUUUAGGUUUAUAUAAGUAAAUUUUAUUAAAUUAUAGAAUUUUAGUUAUAAUGAUAAAAUUAGUAUAUAGAAUUUGUAAUUAAGAUAAAAAUUAAAGUAAUAUAGAGGAAUUCGGCAAAUAUUAUGUUCGCCUGUUUAACAAAAACAUGUCCUUUAGAGUAGAAUUUAAGGUUUAACCUGCCCAAUGAUUAUUUCAACGGCCGCAGUAUAUUGACUGUGCAAAGGUAGCAUAAUCAUUAGUUUUUUAAUUGAAAGCUUGUAUGAAUGGUUGGACGAGAUAUAAACUGUCUUUAAAUUAUAACUAGAAUUUAAUUUUUAAGUCAAAAAGCUUAAAUAGAUUUAAAAGACGAGAAGACCCUAUAGAUCUUUAUAAAUAUAAGAAUUUAAGUUUUAAGGAUUAUUUAUUUUUAUAUUUUUUUAUUUAUUUAAUUGGGGUAAUAAAAAGAUUUACAGAAUUCUUUUUUAUUUUAAACAUAGAUAAAUGAUUUGAAUGAUCCAUUAUUAUUGAUUAUAAGAUUAAGUUACCUUAGGGAUAACAGCGUAAUUUUUUUAAAGAGUUCUUAUCGAUAAGAAAGUUUGCGACCUCGAUGUUGGAUUAAAAUUAAUUUUGGGUGUAGAAGCUCAAAGGUUUAGUCUGUUCGACUAUUAAAAUUUUACAUGAUCUGAGUUCAAACCGGUGUAAGCCAGGUUGGUUUCUAUCUUUAAUUAAUCAGAAUAUUUUAGUACGAAAGGACCAAAUAUUUAAUAUAAAAUAUUUAAAAAUUUUAAUAAGAUUAUUACUUUGGCAGAUUAGUGUGGUAGAUUUAGAAU
rnacentral:rRNA from 1 species